CCCGCCUCCGCGCCUGUGUCCGUCUCCGCAGGCGCAUGUAUAUCCAAUAUCUUCCCACCGGGCACAAACCGUCCAAUAUCAUCUACCAACCCUUCUCCUAACGCAUCCGACAACCCCGCCACUUCUCCCCGCAACACUUCCACCUCAUAUGCCAGCCGGCCCCCUCCACGCAGUAUUUCAUCCGUCAGCUGCGUGAGGGUAUUCGACAGCCGCACAUUUUGCGCACUGAGUUGUGAGACGAGGGAUUGAGUUUGUGCUGAAAGCGCCGCAAGGGAGACAGUGGAGGUGGUAGUGGUAGUGGAGGUGUCUGCAGCUUUUGGUUUUGCUGUUGGCGUUAUCGCUGUUGUUGUUUGGGACGAAGAGAGGGAGAAGGAGAAGGGCGGAAGGAUGUUGUUUAGGUACUCUACUGGGUCGAAGGCGGGAUCUGCGAAUACGGAGAGGGUGGGGUCAAGGUGGGAGGAUGAAGAUUGCUGUGUCAUCUUGGGGCCUUCUGGGGGUCCGUGUAGAGUGGCGGGGUCCAUGGCUUGUGGAAUCGGAGUAUGAAAUGAAUGGGAUAAAUAUGUGACGAACGUUAUUCCGGUCUUGGUUUGUUGCUUUCUUUUAGGGGUGCGUGGUCGGGACGGCUCCACGCCUUUUCAAGCGGUGAUUUGUGUCUGGGUAUUCCGGGGCAUUUGUAUUAAAAGAAAUGUCUAUCAAUUGAGCAUAGGUUCCCUGGAAACCUCUGCGGUAGGAUGUAGUGGUUUUGUCCGUGCCUUGUAUGUGUAGACCAUAGCACAGAUAGGCGGAAGUUGCUUCUGGCGUAGAGCUUAACUGGUUGACUGGUGAUCACGGCGGAUUAUGUAACUAACCCAGGUCACCCUUAUUUCCUUGGUCUUUUGUAAAGGUUUUUCUUCUUCUAACCUUUUGGUAACCAUUCUUGACAGUUUACUGGCUUAAGUUAAUCCUUAUAUUAUUCUCGCCUUUUGAGCUGCUCAGUGCAUAACCAAUGCGGUCAACCCUCAAACAGAGUUAUUUUUAAGCUGCAUAGUACGUUCAGACGCUAUUGAUGAUUGUGCCAGAGCAUCGCGGCACCACGAUGGUCAGAGCGGACGUCCUUGAGCUUGAAACAAUUUUCUCCCGGAGGUCGAAAUGAGUGCAAAGGCGUCGAUAUCCAUACUAUGUAUAAGAAACUUAAAGCUAUCACACGUGGAAUAUACACAGCGCCAAAACCCAAGCAUUUGCCCAGGUUAGUAUUCCGAGCGAAUCGCGCAUAAGUUUGCCCCCGUUGAACCAGCGAAUCCAGGUAGGGCCAAAGGCUAAAUUUGGCUAUGCGGGAUCGAUGGUAAGUUUACCGGUGUGACAGAUGGUUUUUGGAGUUAUCAGGGUUGGAGCUCGAUCCUCCGUAUUCGAUUCGCCAAUAAGGUACACUGGACAGGAUCUGGAAAUGCUUCAUGAGAAUGAUCACUUAAAAAGAGAGUUUUUGAUGAUUUAUUAGUUGUUUAGUUGGACAAACUAAGCAAAGGGGUACAUGCAGGAGAAGAAAGCCUUUCAAAAAUCCUUUCUUCCGCGCCAGUUGUAGUUGAGUUGUAGCUACAAAACAGAUCAUGCAUAUCGAAGGGAUUGACAGCUAGCUAUCCUUGACAUCAUUUCUGAUAUGCUUGGGAAUUUCAAUCUGGCUAUUUCAUUCAAACACCACUCACGGUUUGCUAAUCUGACAUUCUUCUGUCUGUGUGUCUUUUCUGCAUGCAGUUCAGUGAACUAAUCAAUGGUCACAGCCAAUUGAUUUCUAGUUCAUCAAAUACAUCACAAUCCACUGUUGCCUGAGUUGAGCUCUUCUGUUGUAUCCACAAGACUCAGUUGCACCGCAACGCGCACUCCUCGCAACAAGACACAUUAUGAUUGUUUUUGUUUUUAGUGUUAUUAUUAUUUUCUCUCCCCAUGUGUAAACAAGGCUUAGAGAAAUAUCUUUUGUUGAUGGGACAAGGCAUUCUCUGCUUUCUCCUACCAUAUUGUGGCGC
rnacentral:sRNA from 2 species